UUGUUGAGUCUUGCUUGGAACAGGUUCUGAGUUGCAAAGAUGUCGUCGAUGUGUGGAUAUACUGUCGAGUUGUUCGGUGUCUUCUUACCAUGUCGACAGCGACUCAAACCUACUAUCAUCUCAUAACUGCAUCUUCAGCAAGCAUUUGAAAUUUCACUAAUAGUUUUCUUUGGCAAUCCAAGCUAUUCUCUUAGAAAUCAUGCAAUAAGCGACACCGUAUUGUUCACACCACUGUUACCAUAAUAGAGUUAGUUUGCAGAGCGAUUUGCACAACUUGGUGAGUUCGAGGCAAAAGCAAUUUCAGUUAGAGGGUAUGGGAUCUAAUUCCACGGUUGUGGUGAGACGAUGCUAAAAGAAAAGAGGAGGAAGAAUGGAAGAUGGUGGUGGAAACACGACAGUGAAUGGAGGUUGUUGUGGUGGUUCGGAUGUUUGAGAGUGAAACGGAGGGAGAUCCGGAGGUAGCGGUGGUUUUUAUGGCAGUGAAGUUGGUUUUGAUGAAGGAAUCUCCCCCUUGAGUUCUUUUCAGAAAGCCUUUUUUAGAGGAAGGGAUUUCGUUUUCUUUCUCUUAAAAGUCAUUCCUCUUUUUCUCGUGACGGAUCCCCCCAAAAAGGUUGUCUAAAGAGAGAGUAUUAUUGGCCAAUGAAAAGAAACCGUUGGGAAGGGAGAAUAACGUAUGUGUAAGGAGAAUGGACGUGUGUCCUCCUCCUAGUGGAGAAUUGGGAGAUAUUCUUCAAUUGAUUCCUCCCUUAGAAAAAUCGUGAAAUUGAAGAUAAGAUGGGAUUCUAUGCGCCACGUGGACCAUCUUGAUUGGGGCUUAAAUUCUUUUUAUUUAAUUUUUAAAAUUUUCUUUUCUUAUUUUAUUUGAUUUUGAUUGGUCAAGAGAGGUGGACAUGGAUAAUUAUUGUGAGCCUUAGAUUAAUUUGAAUUAAUGAUCAGGAUUGGAUUAAAGAAAUACAAAUAAAUCCAAAAUGUCUACAAUGUCCCUUCUAGAUGAUUUAAUUGAUUUAAAACAAAUUAAAUCAACCAAAUCAAAUAAAAUUCCCAUCUUUAUACACAUGAUAAAAAUAAAAUGAGGACAUGAAAAAUUCUAUUUAAUUAUUCUGAUUAACUUGACAAAAGAAUAAAAUGACUAAAUAUGAAUAAAAGUCGGGCGAAAAUUUGCUCGACAAAUUAAACUGAAUGCAUUAAAAUGAUCAGUGCGAAAUAAACUUAUUGGAAAAAUACAACAUUUCUUUUAAUUCAAAAAUAAUUUUUGAUCGGUUAAAAGGUUUAGACGGAUCAAAAUACAGCUGAAAAAGUCGUCGAAAAAUAUAACGAGCACACCAGGUUAUACUACGCGAACCGUAGAUUAAUAAUACUGACGUCUGCAAGCUUGAUUUCGAAACUUCUUACCCGCUAAUUUUAUAUUUACUUGAGAAAUUAUUUAAUCAAUUUAUCUGUAUAUUCGAUAAUUUAUUCCGACUGAUAUUUUAGGUAUUAUUCAUGAUGGAAUGCAUGUCAUGCUAUACAUAUGAUGCAAACUGAAAUUAAAAUCGAAUUUAUGAAAGUUUUAAAAUGCCCGGACAAAAUUGGGGUAUGACAGCUGCCCCUAUUUAAUCACCUUAAACUAGAAGGUAUGAAUGACAACAGUCUUCGUAUAUUCGUGGUGGAAGAUAAUUAAAUAAGAAAAAACCCAAAUUUUGUCCUUUGAGAUGCAAGGAU
rnacentral:lncRNA from 1 species